CGUGGGGAGCGAACAGGAUUAGAUACCCUGGUAGUCCACGCCGUAAACGAUGAGUGCUAAGUGUUAGGGGGUUUCCGCCCCUUAGUGCUGCAGCUAACGCAUUAAGCACUCCGCCUGGGGAGUACGGUCGCAAGACUGAAACUCAAAGGAAUUGACGGGGGCCCGCACAAGCGGUGGAGCAUGUGGUUUAAUUCGAAGCAACGCGAAGAACCUUACCAGGUCUUGACAUCCUCUGACAAUCCUAGAGAUAGGACGUCCCCUUCGGGGGCAGAGUGACAGGUGGUGCAUGGUUGUCGUCAGCUCGUGUCGUGAGAUGUUGGGUUAAGUCCCGCAACGAGCGCAACCCUUGAUCUUAGUUGCCAGCAUUCAGUUGGGCACUCUAAGGUGACUGCCGGUGACAAACCGGAGGAAGGUGGGGAUGACGUCAAAUCAUCAUGCCCCUUAUGACCUGGGCUACACACGUGCUACAAUGGACAGAACAAAGGGCAGCGAAACCGCGAGGUUAAGCCAAUCCCACAAAUCUGUUCUCAGUUCGGAUCGCAGUCUGCAACUCGACUGCGUGAAGCUGGAAUCGCUAGUAAUCGCGGAU
rnacentral:rRNA from 1 species